GAUGAACGCUGGCGGCGUGCCUAACACAUGCAAGUCGAGCGAACAGACGAUGAGCUUGCGCCUCUGCCGGUGGCGGCGGACGGGUGAGUAACACGUGCAUAACCUACUUAUAUGACUGGGAUAACUUCGGGAGACCGGUUCCAAUACCGGAUAAUAUGUUGAACGGCAGGGAUCAAUAGUGAAAGACGCUUUGCCCGUCACUAUGAGCUGAAUCCGCGCCGCAUUAGCUAGUUGGUAAGGUAACGGCUUACCAAGGCGACGAUGCGUAGCCGACCUGAGAGGGUGAUCAGCCACACUGGAACUGAGACACGGUCCAGACUCCUACGGGAGGCAGCAGUGGGGAAUCUUCCGCAAUGGGCGAAAGCCUGACGGAGCCACGCCGCGUGAGUGAAGAAGGCCUUCGGAUCGUAAAGCUCUGUUAUUAGGAAAGAACAGAAGUGUAAGUAAAUAUGCACGUUUUGACGGUACCCAAUCAGAAAGCACCGGCUAACUACGUG
rnacentral:rRNA from 1 species